CGUGCCGCCGGAGCUUGAUUGGCAUAACUUGAAAUUAAAUUUAAGAAAAACCGCUUGACACUGAAACCCGAAUUUGGGUAUUAAUUAUGGCAUCAUCCGGAAAAGAAGCUGAUCCAUCUUCCAGCGCCGAUCAUGGGGAACGAAAGUGUGGUCUCGAUAUGACUUACGUCAAGUCAAUAAAUGGAAUUUUGAAAGCUAAACAGAUUGGCUGGUCAUUGUUGGCCUUCACAUUGGCUUGCAUAGUCGGGAAUGGUGUAGCCAUCGUAUUCUUUAUCAUAGCCACAUUAUGUGGCUGGACCAUGACAUUCGUCAUUUGGUUCAUGUUUGCCAGUCACACCUAUAAAAAAGUUACAAGAGUCAAUUGGUUCAUUGCGGAUUUGCUUGUAAGUUUAGGUGCUUGUGUCCUCUAUGUUGCUAUUGGUAUUCCAGUUUUGAUCAGUCCAUUCAGCCCAGUGUCAAUUGCAGCAGGGGUGAGUAUACUCAUAGCUUUUUAAACCUCAUUCCACAGAGAGCAAGACCUCUCAAAGACAGCUGUAAGACCAUGAAACUUGCUCGAUCUUUCAAAGGUCUUUCAAUGAACUUUCAAAGAUCUCUGAGGUCUUUCAUAAUUCCUGAUUGAUCUUUGUUGUCUCCAUGAUCUCCGAAUCUUUCGAAACAGUUCAAAACAGUCUUGCAGCGGUCUCACAGGAAAGUGGUCUUUGAUGGUGUUUCAGCAGUGUUUCCGCGGUCUCUUGAUGACCUUUCAAAAUUCUUAUUGUCUCUCUUUCUAUGGGUCUCUCUAUCUCUCUAGAUUUUGCGGAGAUCACUGAACGACUCGUGAGAGAUCAUUUAAAGAUCAUUGAAAGACCAGGAAAAGUCCAUGGAAAGAAUUCUGAAAGAUUACUUGUUGCAUAAAAGAUCUCUCAAAGACUAUUGAAAGAUCUCUACAGGACUAGUCUAUGCCAGUAAAGACAAGAAGUAUAAAUCAGUUUUUUCAGAGUUCUUUGAGGAGUCUUUCUGAACCAUUCCAUAGAGAUGACAAAUUUCAGUGAUCUUGGAGACUGCUGUAAGACCUUGCCAAUUUUUGGUCUUUCAAAGGUCCUUCAAAGGUCUCCCUCCUGUGGAAAGGGGAGUCCUAGGAAAGAUGUUCAUCUGUCAAAUACUGCUCAGGCUUUGUAUUCACAGUCUAAACAUGUGCUUUUAUAGCGCUGCUUACUUUUACAACUAACAGAAAUUAAUAUGCAUUCAUGAAAUUUCAUUCAUUGACUAACACUUUGGUUAUUUUCAGGCAUGCUGUUGAAAAUUGGUGUUGCUGUUGCCUUUUGAUUGGGCUGUUAAAAAAAAAUGAAUUGAGCUGUUUCUAAGAAAAAAAGGGGGGGGUUCUCCUCUUGACUUGUUUCCAUGUAUGUAAGAUGUGUACUGCAUUCAGUGAAAUUUAAUCUCCAAGGUCCAAGCUCCUUUCUCUAAUUUAUUUCUGUGUGACACUUAAAGCAUACAUGCACACCAUACAUAAUAUCCAUGCAUUCCGUGCAUUGCAUGAAAUGAAAGCACAUAAACC